rnacentral:rRNA from 1 species
ACUCCUACGGGAGCAGCAGUGGGGAAUAUUGCACAAUGGGCGCAAGCCUGAUGCAGCCAUGCCGCGUGUAUGAAGAAGGCCUUCGGGUUGUAAAGCACUUUCAGCGGGGAGGAAGGCGAUGAGGUUAAUAACCUUGUCGAUUGACGUUACCCGCAGAAGAAGCACCGGCUAACUCCGUGCCAGCAGCCGCGGUA